rnacentral:rRNA from 1 species
UACGGGGGGGGCAAGCGUUGUUCGGAAUUACUGGGCGUAAAGGGCUCGUAGGCGGCCAACUAAGUCAGACGUGAAAUCCCUCGGCUUAACCGGGGAACUGCGUCUGAUACUGGAUGGCUAGAGGUUGGGAGAGGGAUGCGGAAUUCCAGGUGUAGCGGUGAAAUGCGUAGAUAUCUGGAGGAACACCGGUGGCGAAGGCGGCGUUCUAGACUGCAUCUGACACUGAAAGACGAAAGCCAGGGGAGCAAACGGG